rnacentral:lncRNA from 1 species
AAUUGCGACUUGUAUGAACUUUUAAAAAGUCCAUUCAAAUAUGGGUGUAUGCAAUUAGGUUUUAAGGGGAGAGCUAUAAAUAACAAAGACCAUAAUAAAUCCAACCUCCCCCCAAAGUAUUUUCAUCAGACGUUUUUCUCUUGCCCUAGCUUUUCUCUCUGCAACAGAAGGCGAAUAGCUUCCUUCCUCCAUCUGUGAAGGUAUGCUCCCUAUUUUUUCUUUGAU